rnacentral:rRNA from 2 species
CACGAGUGCGGACGGGUGAGUAACACGUAGGUAACCUGCCCAGAAGCGGGGGACAACAUUUGGAAACAGAUGCUAAUACCGCAUAACAACGUUGUUCGCAUGAACAACGCUUAAAAGAUGGCUUCUCGCUAUCACUUCUGGAUGGACUGCGGUGCAUUAGCUUGUUGGUGGGGUAAUGGCCUACCAAGGCCGAUGAUGCAUAGCCGAGUUGAGAGACUGAUCGGCCACAAUGGGACUGAGACACGGCCCAUACUCCUACGGGAGGCAGCAGUAGGGAAUCUUCCACAAUGGGCGCAAGCCUGAUGGAGCAACACCGCGUGAGUGAAGAAGGGUUUCGGCUCGUAAAGCUCUGUUGUUAAAGAAGAACACGUAUGAGAGUAACUGUUCAUACGUUGACGGUAUUUAACCAGAAAGUCACGGCUAACUACGUGCCAGCAGCCGCGGUAAUACGUAGGUGGCAAGCGUUAUCCGGAUUUAUUGGGCGUAAAGAGAGUGCAGGCGGUUUUCUAAGUCUGAUGUGAAAGCCUUCGGCUUAACCGGAGAAGUGCAUCGGAAACUGGAUAACUUGAGUGCAGAAGAGGGUAGUGGAACUCCAUGUGUAGCGGUGGAAUGCGUAGAUAUAUGGAAGAACACCAGUGGCGAAGGCGGCUACCUGGUCUGCAACUGACGCUGAGACUCGAAAGCAUGGGUAGCGAACAGGAUUAGAUACCCUGGUAGUCCAUGCCGUAAACGAUGAGUGCUAGGUGUUGGAGGGUUUCCGCCCUUCAGUGCCGGAGCUAACGCAUUAAGCACUCCGCCUGGGGAGUACGACCGCAAGGUUGAAACUCAAAGGAAUUGACGGGGGCCCGCACAAGCGGUGGAGCAUGUGGUUUAAUUCGAAGCUACGCGAAGAACCUUACCAGGUCUUGACAUCUUGCGCCAACCCUAGAGAUAGGGCGUUUCCUUCGGGAACGCAAUGACAGGUGGUGCAUGGUCG